UCCUCCAAGCAUCAUGUCCCCAUUGGGCUGCAGGUGAUGCUGCUAAGGCACCCUCACCCCCUACUCCCUCCAUUGGAUAUAAGUAAAUAAGUAUCACAGUCCAGUUUUUUCAGGACCCAAAUGCAGCUAACAAGCUUCCUUUAAAGCAGCUAUAUACCGUCAAUUAAAAACCCAAGAAAAACAGAAGAUCCAAACCAAUAAAGAGGCUG
rnacentral:misc_RNA from 1 species